CCUACGGGAGGCUGCAGUGGGGAAUAUUGGACAAUGGGCGAAAGCCUGAUCCAGCCAUGCCGCGUGUGUGAAGAAGGCCUUCGGGUUGUAAAGCACUUUCAGUGGGGAAGAAAGCCUUGGGGCUAAUACCCUCGAGGAAGGACAUCACCCACAGAAGAAGCACCGGCUAACUCCGUGCCAGCAGCCGCGGUAAUACGGAGGGUGCGAGCGUUAAGCGGAAUUACUGGGCGUAAAGCGCGCGUAGGCGGUCUGAUAAGCCGGUUGUGAAAGCCCCGGGCUCAACCUGGGAACGGCAUCCGGAACUGUCAGGCUAGAGUGCAGGAGAGGAAGGUAGAAUUCCCGGUGUAGCGGUGAAAUGCGUAGAGAUCGGGAGGAAUACCAGUGGCGAAGGCGGCCUUCUGGACUGACACUGACGCUGAGGUGCGAAAGCGUGGGUAGCAAACAGGAUUAGAUACCCCAGUAGUC
rnacentral:rRNA from 1 species